rnacentral:rRNA from 1 species
GGUGGCCUCUUCUAUGCUGCCGGGUUGGGAUCGGCCCGCGUCCCAUUAGCUAGUUGGUGAGGUAACGGCUCACCAAGGCCACGAUGGGUAGCCGGCCUGAGAGGGUGUACGGCCACACUGGCACUGAGACAAGGGCCAGUCCCCUAUGGGAGGCGCAGGCGGGAAUAGUUCACAAUGGGCGAAAGCCUGAUGACGCGACGCCGCGUGAGCGAAGAAGACCUUCGGGUUGUAAAGCUCUGUCAGGAGGGAAGAAGGCUCUACGGGUCAAUAGCCCGUGGGAUUGACGGUACCUCCAGAGGAAGCCCCGGCUAAAUACGUGCCAGCAGCCGCGGUAAUACGUAUGGGGCAAGCGUUGUCCGGAUUUACUGGGCGUAAAGGGCGCGUAGGCGGUUUGUUAAGUCGAAGGUGAAAUCCUCGGGCUCAACUCGAGAAUUGCCUUCGAUACUGGCAAACUAGAGUGGCGGAGAGGAAAGCGGAACUCUUGGUGUAACGGUGGAAUGUGUAGAUAUCAAGAGGAACACCGGUGGCGAAGGCGGCUUUCUGGACGCACACUGACGCUCAGGCGCGAAAGCGUGGGUAGCAAACAGGAUUAGAUACCCUGGUAGUCCACGCCAUAAACGAUGGGUACUAGGUGUCGGGGGUAUCGACCCCUCCGGUGCCGCAGUUAACGCACUAAGUACCCCGCCUGGGGAUUAUGGUCGCAAGGCUGAAACUCAAAGGAAUUGACGGGGCCCCGCACAAGCGGUGGAGCAUGUGGUUUAAUUCGACGCAACGCGAAGAACCUUACCUGGGCUUGACAUGCUUGGGACAGCGCUGGAAACAGCGUCUCUCCUUCGGGAGCCCUUGCACAGGUGCUGCAUGGCUGUCGUCAGCUCGUGUCGUGAGAUGUUGGGUUAAGUCCCGCAACGAGCGCAACCCUCGUUACUAGUUGCCAUCAGUUCGGCUGGGCACUCUAGUGAGACUGCCGGUGAUAAACCGGAGGAAGGUGAGGAUGAUGUCAAGUCAUCAUGGCCCUUACGCCCAGGGCUACACACGUGCUACAAUGGUCGGCACAAAGGGUCGCUAAGCCGCGAGGUGGAGCUAAUCCCAAAAAGCCGGCCUCAGUUCGGAUUGGAGUCUGCAACCCGACUCCAUGAAGGCGGAAUCGCUAGUAAUCGCGGAUCAGCAUGCCGCGGUGAUAUGUUCCCGGGGCUUGUACAC